UACAGAGGGGGCAAGCGUUGUUCGGAAUUACUGGGCGUAAAGGGCGCGUAGGCGGCCUGCUAAGUCGAACGUGAAAUCCCUGGGCUCAACCCAGGAACUGCGUCCGAUACUGGUUGGCUUGAAUCCGGGAGAGGGAUGCGGAAUUCCAGGUGUAGCGGUGAAAUGCGUAGAUAUCUGGAGGAACACCGGUGGCGAAGGCGGCAUCCUGGACCGGCAUUGACGCUGAGGCGCGAAAGCCAGGGGAGCGAACGGG
rnacentral:rRNA from 1 species